UGUCGGAAGUGGGAUGAAGCUUGAGCAACCAGUCUACGGCAAGUGCCAGACUCACACCGAAAGGCUACAGUGCGACUGCGCAGGCGGACCCUAGCCGAGCGCUGGGAUUUGUAAGUGGGCGUGGCCUGUCGUCCUGACAACCGUGAGCGUUCUGACACUGUCGAGUUCAGACUUUUCCCUCCGCGAAGGUCCUUCUCUCAUGGCUCCCAAACCAAAAAAGACUUCCAGCAAGAAAAAGAUCACCAAAGCUGAGCGACUUCGGCUGCUGCAGGAGGAGGAAGAGAGGCGCCUGAAGGAGGAAGAGGAGGCUCGACAGAAAUUUGAAAAAGAAGAACAGGAGAGGCUAGAAACACAGCGGAUUGAGAAAGAGAAAUGGCGUCAGCUGGAAAAGAAAGACCUAGAAAGAAGGAGCGAAGAACUUGAAGAGCUUUCUUUGCUAGAGUGCUGUUUUCCUGAAGCAGAAAAAUUGAAACGGGAAACCAGGGCGCUGGCUCAGUGGAAGCACUACAUCCAGUGUGAUGGGAGCCCUGAUCCUUCGAUUGCUCAGGAAAUGAACACUUUCAUUAGCCUGUGGGAAGAGGAGACGAAUGAGACCUUCGAGCAAGUGAUUGAGAAAAGCAAACUGGUGCUGUCCUUGAUUGAGAAGCUGAAGUUAAUUUUACUGGAAACUCCAUCAUGUGACCUGGAAAGCAGGACCAUCGCGCAGCAUCAAGGGUCAAUUCUGCGCCUGCAGGAACUCCUCAGUCAGAAGGUGGACGUAGCCACAGAACUGCUUCUCCGAGAGGCUAGUACCUUAGCAGAUCUGGACAGCGGGAACAUGGAAAAAAUCAUCCAAGAUGAGAAUGUUACCCUGUAUGUGUGGGCAAACCUAAAAAAGAAUCCCAGGUAUCGAAGUGUGAAAUUCUCUGAAACACAAAUUGGAUUUGAAAUUCCAAGGAUACUAGCUACAAGUGAUGUUGCUCUUCGGCUCCUACACACGCGCUAUGAUCAUGUCACCCCCCUAUACCCCAACACCAUCACUAAGGAAGACCAUGUUCCCAUGGUGAUGAAGCAUUUCAAACAAGAAGAGCACAUAGAAAAGGCCGUCACUGAAGAAAAGGUCUUUGCUGAGGAAAACACCACCAACCAAGCUGCUGAGUCGCAGUCUAGACAAGAAACAGAGCUCAGCUUCGUCCAAGAGGAAGAGCCCAACUCUGAGGCGCUAGAGAACAUUGACGUACGGAAGGCUUACUACCAGGAGGAGGAAAACUCCAAAGGCCCCAGAUACGAGCUGGAGAUGCGGUUGCUAAGUGAAGUUGUCUCAGCAGCACAGCUGCGCCUGGUGGAGAACAGCGUGGAGUUCCCACACACCAAUGAGGAGAAGGAGGUGGACCUGUGCCAUUUCUCCACCCUGGGUGGCGUGUACCACCUGGACAUCCUGGAGCUGCCCCCUCAGUGCAAACCAGUGAAGGGCUGGGUACUAGUCGAGAUACGCCAAGAAGGAUUGCAGAGGUUUACAUAUCCUCCGGAGACCACAGAGGAACCCGAUCCAGAAAAUGCCUUUCCACCCAUAGAGGUCACACUGGAGGUCCGUGAGAACGUAAUCUUCUUUGAGGAUCCCAAGGUCAUAAGGUGGGAUGCAGAAGGUAAAAUCUGGAAAACAGAUGGCAUUAGUGAGGUUUUUUACAGUCGAGAAGACAGGCUCAUAUCCUUCUGUUUGGAUACUUUGGGCCCUGUGACCUUGAUUCAAGAUGCCCAUAUUAAUAUGCCGUACCAGUCCUGGGAACUGCGACCCCUCGGUGUGAACAGAGUCCUCAUGACUGUGACUUCCCUUUUCACUGAGCUCCAGAUACACAUCAAGGAGAACCUCUGCAUGCUGGCUUCAGUCAAACUGAGGAGCCAAGACCAUCUGUCUCAUUUAGAAGGAAAAUGGAUGACGCCCGUACCCUUCAUUCUGGCUAUGAAGGAAGCAGGCCUGAAUGUCUUCCCUUCUGUAAACUCUCAUUUUUAUGUGGUCGUCAACAACAAGGCAGAGUGAAUCUCUCUAAUACAGCGGGAUUAAACUUUGGGGGAGGGAAACCUAGGGCUCCGAUUUAAUGAUCUUCUGAAGAAUUCGAGUGCAGUGGGCAGACCUGCCAUCCACACGGCCACUUUUAGCAAAAGCAAGCCCAGUUACUGCUCGUUGUAACGUCUUCCCUUUUCCAGUGCUGGGUCACAGUGGGGCUGUAUUUCCUCACCAAUCACACACAGACCACCAGCCUGCAAAGCCAUUUCCUUCGUGGUUUCUCAGCACAGUCCCCAUGUCUGUGUGCUGUUCUGUGCUCCUCACAAGGGUUCAGUUCGCAAGACCCUCCAUGAAUCUGAGGCUCCUAGAGAACAGGACCUUUGGCUGUUCUAGCAGCCAGCCUGGCACUCGAGUGCCAGUGUUUGUUAACAGCCCUGAACACAUGAAGACACGGGUGCUCUGAAUCACGGAAGGCAUGCUUGUAGACAAGACUGUUCCAUACUGGAGAGCACGCCUGCCUCUGCUGGUGUCUUUUCACCUGCCAGUAGUCCUGUGACACUUGUCAAUCGUGUACCCAAGGGUCCCCCUGGUGGAGAUGAAGGCAUAUCGGCAAAUGGCCCUGCUAAGCUCUGCUUUCGCGUUUAGCUGGAGCAAGUGG